CAUGCAAACACACUGAUUUGUAUACGGCUUGUUGUUUGCUCCUGAGAUUUACCGUUUCUCUCUAAAUUAGGAAACAGCGACUGGAAGAAAUGGAAGAGGGAAGUAAUUCUGUUGUCUGCAGGCUCAGACCAACCUCAGGACAUUCUGUACAGCCAAGAGCCACUAUCCCUUCUUCAGAGAUGACAUAGGGCAGCAGAGCCUAGAUUAGAUUCUCAGUUCAGAUAAAGCUUACAGGAUAUGCUGUUUCCAGAACCAGCACAACCAGAUCAGAACAUCAUCUUAACUCUUCUCCUACUUUCAUCUUUCCCCUCCCCAAAGUUACUACAGGUUCAAGUAAAGACCCAUUAGGUGAGAUUCUGGAGGAGUACUGAGUAGAGGUAUUGCAGUGGGUUCCAUAAACCUCACCAUCAGGCAGGUCCUGGUACCUUUCCUCUUACUGAAACCAACAGUAUCUGCGAAAAGCACGAGAGUCAAAUCCACAUCAGAUCACAGGGAGGUAAAAAAAAAACUGUCAGUCUUGCCACUGAUCUAAAAAUAUUAACAUUUUUCCACCUAAAAAUCCUCUAAUUUUCUGCUUGCUUCUUUAACAUCAUGGACCAAGAAUAAAACUAUUAUAAAACAAACCUUUAUAAACUUUCCUACUAGCAGAGAAACCAGGUAAAAGUGAAAAUACUGGUCAAAGUUUUCCUUUCUUUGAUUCUGAAAAUGUGCCAGCAAAAAUCAUCCCAAGAUUACAGCCAGACACAGGAAUUACAUGCCAGAUGGCAGAUCAACCAGCUCUGACAGAUUCUUCUUCUUCUAUGGAUUAGGAAAGCAGGGGCUGGACCUCUGGUCUGUGUAAUCCAUUUUGGAUUCACUGACUUCUGCUGAGAUUCUGUUCCUGUCUUCACCUGUACUGAAAAACCUCGCAAAGUGAAGUGAGAGACAAAUUGCAAGCUGACCCUGCUCACUUACUUUCUCUCCUGCAAGUCCUGUCUAUUUGUGGGACAGAUGCUGAUUUCUGACGGAUUCGCAUCACGUCUCAUGAAAAGCAUGAAUGCUGGCUUUUUUCCAGCUGGCAUGUGGUGGACAGAUGCUGAAAUCCAGCUGUUUAAAUCCUUGAUCAGCCAUUUACGUUGAAACCCAGCAGUGAAAUGACUAAAAGGUAUGUUUUCAGAGUCGUGUGCCAAAACGUACCCCAGGGAUUCCCACUCAAGCUGAAAUACUGAAAGACUCUGAACCCCAUCGAUAUGUAAAGAAUACAACAUACA
rnacentral:lncRNA from 1 species